rnacentral:misc_RNA from 1 species
GCGAGCGACGCCAGCGCCUCCACCCCUGUCGUGGUAACGCUCUUGUACGCCCAUUUGGCCCGUGUAGACGUCGUUUAUGAAAUUGUUUUCCAAUCUCCCACGCCUGAAUCCUAGGAAUGGCUAGAGAAUACGACCAUUUAUUCAAAUUACUAAUAAUCGGAGACAGCGGAGUUGGAAAGAGCAGCUUGUUGCUGAGGUUUGCUGACAACACUUUUACGGGCAACUACAUCACAACCAUCGGGGUAGACUUCAAGAUCCGCACACUCGAAGUGGAUGGCGAGCGAGUCAAGCUGCAGAUCUGGGACACAGCUGGUCAGGAGCGGUUUCGCACCAUCACAUCGACGUAUUACCGAGGUACCCAUGGUGUGGUCGUGGUCUAUGAUGUCACAAAUGGGGAGUCCUUUGCCAAUGUCAAACGCUGGCUUCAUGAGAUUGAGCAGAACUGCGAUGUCGUCAAUAGGAUCUUAGUGGGCAACAAAAAUGAUGACCCAAGUAGGAAAGUAGUGCUAACAGAGGACGCACAGCGUUUUGCUGACCAGAUGGGCAUACAGCUAUUUGAGACAAGCGCCAAGGAGAACAUCAAUGUCGAAGAGAUGUUCAAUGCCAUUACACGGAUGGUGCUCAAGAGCAAGAAGGAGCAGAAGGAGCGGCAGCAGGUGCCCGAGGACAAGCUGCGGUUAAAGCCCGGUGGCCACAAGAAGAAGAAGCAGUGCUGCUGAUUGGCGGCGGCCCUUCCCCCACCACCACCAGCACCCUUCCGUGCAGCUCUGGUUGCCGGAAGACCUGUACAUUUGAAUGGGAUCGGGAGGAAGAGGACAUGGCUCAUUCCCUCUGAGGGGGGAGUGUGCAGCGUCUGCCAAGAGCUGCCAGUGCGAAGAAACUCUCGUCGCCGCCAUUCGCUUUUGCCCUCUUUCUUCCUCCUCCGUCUGCUCGUCCUCUGUCUAUGCCCAUUGCUCACCGCAUCGCGGUACUUCAAGGCAUCGCCAGUGUUGAAGAGGUGGGGACUGCAGUGUGCACCAUGCAGCGAAUUUUCUCUCUUUUUUUUAUGUUUGCCCGUCUAGCCUCGCUAGUGUAGUGAUCUGUACAACAGCGUGCACCUUGCCCUCCAGUCCUGGUUUUUGCUGCUGCUGUCAAAGCAAGCGUUGCUCUAGCCAUGACCUGUCUGUGCGAAUGUUUGUUGAUAAGCGUGGCCGCGAACGACGCCCUCUGAGCUACAGCCACAAGCGGAUCAGUGCUGUCUGCAGAAGGACGUGCAGCUUGGUUCACUGUAAAUAUGAUGAAGAGGGAAGUGCAGCCAGGCUUUGGCAGGCAACCGUGCACAUCCCGAAGGAGCAUGUAGGGGUGGGCCUGGUGGUGGAUGUUUGUGAGCAGAUUGGGGUGUGCUUCACUGUGAUGCAGUGCUGAGCAAGUGUUUGUACGCGGAAGAUGUUGUGCCGAGGUAUUAGGUCUGCACUGGCGAAAUGUGGUAACACGGUUGGACAGCACGGCUGCUCAGUGGAGCACGCGAGGCCAUGUCUGUCGCUCGUCCUUUUUAUGUCUUUGCAAAAGCCUGUGCACUUGCAUCUCCGCCCGGUCAGUCAGGUGGGAAAGCAAGCAUGCAAUUCUCAUGUCUCUGCCCUGUUCUGUCAAUAUAUAUAUAUACAUAUAUAAGUUUUUUUUUUUUAAGCUUCACUCGAUAGCAAUGUUGCUCCAUUAUCUUUGUUGCCCUUUAUUAUGCCGGUGUGCUCAUUGCAGCUAUUUAAAAAUUAGUGCUGCAGUUCAAAAUGUAGUGAAUUAAGGGAGAGAUUUCCAGGUAGGCAUUGUAGCAGACAGCUUCUUAAAGCUGUGGGGCCAGCAGGGAAGAGACUAUCACCAUUUUUGUUCGGAUCAGUCUUAGUCACCGAAUUUUCGCAUGCAUAGCAUGAGCUUUUCUUUCCCGCACAUGUGACUCUUGUUUUUGAAGUGCAGAAUGUGUCAUCUUUCUUGCUCUUUUUCUUCCUCCACUGUGCUUUAUCACAACCAUCACUUGCAUCAUAUAUUGUUGUUAGUAUCACUGGAUGUAAAUUGCCUUUCAAAUACUGCUGUGUUGCUGCAGAAGCAUAUAUAUCGUUUAUUGGUUAUAUAAAUACAGAUUGCUGUGGUAUGAUUUGCAUUGCUUAAGCACUUGGCAAUGCAGAGUUUUAAUUGUGUCAUGCUGCCAGAGAAAUAUCACCAUCCUAUGUGCCACUCUGCAAGGCACAUAGCUCCCUACAGAGCAGUGUACACUGCAUACUCUCCCCUUGUGUCUCUCUCUUCUCUUUUUGCGGGCAGAGUAAUCUUUUGAUGAGUAUUUCUUACGUCUCUGCUGUGUCUCCUGGUUCAUGCAGGUCACACUGGUCACUUGAGCUGCAUAGCACAUUUGCAAGGCAUUUCACUGUGCUAGCAAAGUGCAGCAGGAUGUACCAUAAAACUAGUUUGUAACGAGUAUGUUUUCAUUGUGAUUUUUUUUUUAGCAUGUUGUUUUCUUAGUUCUAGCCGGUUCACUUGGGAUAUGAUGGACGGAGGCCACAGGCCUGUUGUAUGCGCAGUUUUACUCAUCUUUGCACGGCCUCUCAUGUAAGGAAGGUACCUGAGUUGCGCCUGGAUUUGGUCAAAUUUAUAGUCUUAAGCAUUUUUUUUUCUUUCUUUUUCCUUUUUUUUUUCUGCAAUUGGUUAUGACUCAAAGGAGCUUGCACCACGAUUGUGACUGUGUUUGUUGUUGAAUUUGUGGGUUAUGGUAAAUACUUCUGGGUCAUCGUGUGAAGCGAAAACACAAGAAAAUGUGCCCGCACUGCAUUUUAUAAAGUGUGUAGUCUGCCCUUUUUUUUUUCUUUUUUGCGGACAAGAGGAAGAAAAAGAAAAAGGUGGUAUUGCUCUGGGCACUUUACAAAGUGCUGUGUGCAUCCCGGCAAAAUAGUGUGCGCACCGCUGCGCGAAGAACAUUGAAAGUAAAAAAAUAAAGAAAACAAUGCGUACAUUGAAUUUUACAGUGAAAAAUAAACAUAUUGAAUGAUA